UCUUCCCGUUGUCUUGUCUUCUUUUUCUCCAAUUCCAAUCUUUCUUUUCUUGAUUCAGAACCAAAAAUAUAAAUAAAUACAUAAAGGGAGGAUUAAUUAGUAAAGGUGCAAAAUCAAUCACUAUAGCCAUGCCAGGCUGAAAGAUGGGAAGAUCCUGAUGCAUAAUGAAUUAAUGCAUACACUUUUUUUGUGUUACAAAUUCACGGGUUGAAAUUGUAAGCACCUAAAUUUUUGAAGGAUCUAACUUUCUAAGAUACCAAUUAAGAGGAGCUUCUUCAAUUCGAAUGGUUCUCGUGUGUUGCCUAAGAAGAUUGCGUUUGUUUUCACCCUUUAGGAGCCUCGAAUCGACCUUUCCAACUCCGCUAUAUAUUCAUAGCAAGGUUUGGGGAGAGGAGUUUCUCAAAGCAACAAUUCAGAUGAUGCUUACGAGUAGGGGUGCACAAGACCCGGUCCGGUCCGAAGACCCGGAUCGGACCCGAUGACUUCGGGGCUAAUUUGGCCCGAUUUCGUUAUGGUUCGGUCAGACCCGAGAUUUCAAUAGAUGGCUCCGGUUAUUUAUUAAAUUGGGUUCGGGCCAAGUCUCGGGUCACCCGGCCCCGGCCCGUUGGACCCGUGUAGUUGUUUGCUACUUAAUAUUUUGUUGUUAUUGGUUGGUAUGACACUAUAAAUUAUUAUUAUUAUGUUAAUCUUGUGUUGGUUGU